rnacentral:rRNA from 1 species
UGUGAGUAGUAGAGUUUGAUCCUGGCUCAGGACGAACGCUGGCGGCGUGCUUAACACAUGCAAGUCGAACGGUGAACCGCUUUCGGGCGGGGAUCAGUGGCGAACGGGUGAGUAACACGUGGGUAACCUGCCCUCCACUCUGGGAUAACUCCGGGAAACCGGGGCUAAUACCGGAUACGACCUUCAGGCGGCAUCGCCUCGGGUGGAAAGUUUUUCGGUGGAGGAUGGACCCGCGGCCUAUCAGCUUGUUGGUGGGGUAAUGGCCUACCAAGGCUUUGACGGGUAGCCGGCCUGAGAGGGCGACCGGCCACACUGGGACUGAGACACGGCCCAGACUCCUACGGGAGGCAGCGAGUGGGGAAUAUUGCAGCAAUGGGCGAAAGCCUGAGUGCAGCGACGCCGCGUGAGGGAUGA